rnacentral:lncRNA from 1 species
AGUGAGGAUGAUGAAGGGGGAGGAUGAGAGGGACGGCUGGGCAGAGGUAGGAGAGCUUGGGUGAGGUUGUGCUGUCCCUUGAAUGACACUCAAGGCUGUGGCCCCGCAGCAGAGGAGAGCUGUGGUGGCGGCGGCGGCAGCGGCGGCGGCGGCAGCCUGAGCGAGCAGUAGCCGAGCUGUCAAACUCGUUGCAGAGUUCUCAGAAUUCCCCCUCGGAGAAGCGGAAAGUUGGGGAAGUGCAAGCUGGUUACCCAGACGGCGGGUGGGCUGAGCAUCGCUUGGCGGGGUGCAGGCCGGGACGGGAACUCAGCGGAGGGGCGGAGUUGUCCGGAAGAAACCUUAAGACGUCCUGGCCCGACAGCUACCUGCUCCACAGGAGGGAAAGAAGGGUCCGACCGAACUUGAGCACCGCGGCAGAAUCCGGGCUGGAGCUCAGCUCGCAGGCCCACCACCGGCUUCCUUUCCCUUCACCAAGUUUGCAGCCUGGAGGAGAGCCUACGGCACAUCUGAAGAGGGAGAAGCCAUCUUGCCUCUAUGACUAGACAGGCAUGAGGAUAAAAUCUCUGUGAGGAUAAUGGAACAAAGUUGUAGGAGGGGCCUAGAGUCCCUUCCUUUAGACUUCUUGUUAUGUGAGGAAAAUAAAAUGCUACUACAAGGUUAAGCCA